GCCGAGACCCUUAAUCCCUUCAGG
rnacentral:siRNA from 1 species